rnacentral:lncRNA from 1 species
AUCUGAAUGCUCAAUUUCUAUAAUCACUAAAUGACCCUAAAGAAGAAAUCAAGUCAUUAAAAUAAAUCCAACCUGCCAGUUUGUCUUACAAGCAACCUGCUAAUGAAAAUCUAUUACAUGAAAUGCCAGAUCAACAGAAGAAACAAUAUAAUAUCAUGCUCUUUAAUUUUCCUGAAGCCUAAAGCUUGAACAAUAAAAUGACUAACUCUCCAUUCCUCUCCUCUCCUUUCCUAUUAUUAAUACGUAGCGUAUUGAAAAUAGGAAAAUGUACAUCGGUCGCUUAAAGUUAGGUUAAGCAGUAGCAAAAAGUGCUUCGACUCCUUAAAACUAAAAGAAAUCUCUCAAAAAGUCUUCAAAGUUUUCAAAGAAAAGUCUUCUGAGAUCUUCAUAAGCAGUGAUCACACAGCUCAGCAAAGAACUUAUCUGAAUAAAUUGAGUGUACUUUAAAGGAGAGGCAGAGGAGUAACGAUAAGGACUUGGUUAAUAAAUAUGUUGGAGAGAUUUCUAAAAUUAUAUUCUCGUGAAUUUUUAAAAUGUAGAAAAUGAAGAUCUUAUACUAUUAAAGAAAAUAGUAUUUUAAAGCCUUCUGUGGAACUUGGAUAUCUCGAAUAAUCUCAUACUUAAUUAUAUCGCUGUAUCCGUUAUUUAUAGUAAUAAUACUUGAUUUAAUAAUUGGGAUUAAUACCCGUUGGUAAAUUAAUGAAUACAUAUUUCCGAAUGUUCUUCAGUUAUGUAAUAUUUUUUUUGCUCUCUUAAUUAUUGGCUCUUUUUGUGCCAAGGAUGCGCAAUCUUUAUCAGCUUUUUAUUUAAAUAUACUGGCUGACAUGUUCUAGUGGUGCAUACAAUAUCACUUCAAUUAACAGGGAGUUUGGGGACUUGUAUUAACUCGAAUUGAAAUAAUAUAAAUCCCUAACUUAUAUUAAAACAAUUUAUCAUAAUCAAUAUGCUUCAUCACAGGAUUUUGGUAACUACAGCUCUGAACUAUUGAAAAUUGCUACAAGCAAAUCGUUAUCUUUAAAGGCUUGAAUAAUAAGUUGUUCUUGAGAGUCCUUGCUUCAACUCCGUACAAAAGAACGUAACAGCACAACGUAACACAUCCUCAUCUUAAGUUCCUUGUAAAUAUCUCGACUCGUAAAUAACUUUUUUCAUUUUUCUAAAUGUUGAUCUAGCUAUCUCUACCUUUGUUCUUAUUUCUCCUGUUUGUUCUAUCCAAGUUUCUAGAUAUUUAUAUGUCAACAUAUAUUCUCUCUAAUGGUGUAUGCCACCGUGAGGUUUACAUGGUUCAGAUCUUGUGAGGCUUUUAUAACUACCAUUAAUAAGGUUUUCUUUAACAGGUGUUGUGUGUCUUUUAGAUUGCUUGUUCCCUUAUAUUAUUAAUUAACUCUUUAAAUUAUAACUCUUUUAAUUUCAAUCUAUUCCCACUAACUUAUCCUCUAGGUUUUGCCUUAAAAUAGCUUAGUUGUAGACGUUAAAUAGGAGCGGUAAUAUAAUGCACUUUUUCUCACACCACGACAAAUCUCCAUUUCUUUUGUUGGUUUCUAAUGUUGUUGUAGCUUUUUGACCCCUAUAUGAAUUAGUAAUUAUUCUUACCUUGUCGGAGUUAAUGUUUUUGCUAACAAAUAGCAUGUAACUGAUCAAGUUUCACAUUUUUUAAGGCUUUUUCAAAAUCGAUGUAAUAUGCAUACCAUUUUUGGUUUCUACCAAUACAGCAUUGGAAAAGAAUAUUUUUCCCAAAAAGUACACCUCUCGCGUUUUAAGAAAGAAAGAAAAUGUGCUAUAUUACGUUAGAAUAAUCUUGUGUACAAGCAUCCUACAAGCUAAAAAAAAAAACAAAACAAAAAUACAAUUUCAAAAAUUGACAAACAAUGAACAAAAUUAAACACAAGAAGACAAAACUUUUUGAACAUACUUAAAUUUAAUAUAACUAAAUAAAACAAUCAAUUACUAAAUAAAGGUAAACUGUUUGACAAAACUAGAGAAGAAAAAACGAAAAAAAAAACUUUCCAACAUGUCCAAGGUUAAAACCUAUUAUUAAAAAAGUAUCAAUCCAGGUUAUAAUAUGCCUUAGCCAAUAAAAGCGUAUUUAAUUCUCUUUUAAAUUUCUUAACAUCCGAUAUAUGUCUAACACAUAGAGGAACAUGAUUGUAAAUUUUUUUACUUAUGUAAAUUAAUGAGUUUUUGGUAAUGGAAGACGUAGGAAUAGGUAGGGGAACAUCAUUUACACGACGAGUCAAAUGGCCAGUGUCAGAGGGUAGUUUGGGAAUUUUGUGAAUAAGAGCAGCUGUUUCUAGAUAAAGAGUGAAAAAAGAGUUAGGAUUUUUUCAGAAAUGAAGAGGGGUUUGCAAGAAUCUCUUAACUUAGCAGAAAACAGGUAUCUAACUGUUUUUUUUGAAUAACAAAGACAAUGUUAAGUAGCCCCUUAUUGGUUAAACCCCAAAUAGGCAAGCCAUACCGAAUAUGAUAUUCAAUAAGUGAAAUGUACACUGAACGUGCAACCACCCCUCCCAGCUCUUGUUUUGCCAUUCUUACUGCAAAACAUCCAGAAGAUAAUUUCCCAGCUAAUUGUAAAAUAUGAUCUUCAAACCGAAGGCGACCAUCAAUGGUAAUUCCUAGGAACUUGCAGCACUCUUUAUUCUGCAAGAGGGAAUUUUCGUCAAACAUCAGACCCUGAACAUCGCACCAUAAUAGACGUCAAACCCCAUAAUAGACGUCUUUCUUACAUUAAACACGAGCCUGUUGGAAGCACACCACCCUGAUAAAAUCUGAAGGUCUUCAAGGAUACAAGUCUUAAUAUAAUCAGAAUUUUUAUGGCUCCAUAGUAUGGUGGUAUCAUCAGCAAACUGAACCACCUUGCCCUGCAGUUUCAAUGAACUCAAGUCAUUCACAUACAGUAAAAAUAACAGUGGUCCCAACACUGAACCCUGGGGAACGCCAUUGAAUACGCCCAACAUUUUAGGGAUCUAGAAGCAGACAAACGCCCUGACACUGUAACCUUCUGAGUACGAUUUGAUAGAUAGGACUCAAGCCAUCGCAACGCUGCUCCCCUAAAACCAUAUUUAUCGAGCUUAGAUAACAGUAUUCCAUGAUCCACACAGUCAAAUGCUUUGGAUAGAUCACAAAACACUGCCGCCGAUGACUCUCCAGAAUUCAAGGACACAUAGGCGCUCUCCAAAAAGCUAAAAACAGCAUCAUGAGUCCCUUUACCGGCUUGAAAUCCAAACUGAUUUGCAGACAAAAUGCCAUUAUGAUGUAAAAAGGGCAAAAUUCUGCUUUUUCCAAGUUUUUCAACUAUCUUAGAGGGGGUAGACAAAAUAGAAAUGGGACGGAAAUUACAAGGCUGAUCCAAAUCUCCACUCUUAUGAAGAAGGAUAACCACUGCCUCUUUUAAACAUGAAGGAAAAAUGCCAAUAUGUAAAGAAUUGUUUAUGGCAGAAACUAAAGCAUUUAAGGCUGAAUCAGGCAAAAAGAGUAACAACCUCGAAGAUAUCCCAUCAGCUCCAGAUGAUUUAUGUUUUUUUAGGCGUUUGAUUUCAUUUUUUACUUCGGUAAGAUCGACAGGAUGAAAGAAAAAUGAAUGCUCAACCGACACUUGUUGAAGAUAGUGUAAGGGAUCAAUGUUACUACGAAUGCCCUUGAGCAAGAUAGUAAGUCCAAUGGACAAUCUUCCACAGCCACGAAUAUACCAGCUGCUCUCCGACAUUUGGGAAUUAUCUCAUACCUCGCCUAGACUCGAAGGUGCGACAAGGAUGAAGACAGCGGUGGGCAUACCUUGCGACAUCUCGGGACAUACAUUGAAAGUUGUCAAAUACUCCGGAUCAGUGGUCUACUUAAUUUAUAAAAAGCCGUCAUCGUUAGGAGGCAGUUUAAGUCUGAAUAUUGUCGCGACUUUUAAAUCUAAAAAAAGACAGGGUAAGUAAAUGUUUCUAAUAGUCAUAAGUCAUACUGUUUAAUAAUUGUGUUGUAAAUGUAUAAUAAAUAAGUUGACUAUUUUUGUAUAUCGAGUGUUUUAAUUUUUUUCAAAACUCGCUUUGUCCAAAUUAUGCAAAAUUGAGUUUUAUAUCGUUUCUACAUAAUUUCGACCUUCCGCAUCGAUUGAAGAAGUCGGUUUUUGCAAAACUCGCUUUGUUUCAUGCAUAACAAUGUUAGAUUUUUUAUAAGUUUUGCAAAACUCGCUUUAUCCGGUACAUAUUGGUAAAUAUAUACAUAAAUAGAACUUGAUGCAUUAUAUAUUUACAUUUCGUGGUUCGUUUAAUAAUCGUUUAUUUUGAUCUUAGUUUGGUAUAAGUAGCAAGCCGAUGCACAUGUGUUUCGCAGUUUAAAAAUGUCUGAAUAUUUAACGAAUAUCGUAGAAGUGCCUGGAGGACGCAAACAAAAAAUUCCGCGAAAAAAAUCAACUCGAUACACGGAAGCGAACGUGGGGGUAUUGGAUAUUGUGUGCUCACAUGCUGAGCAGUUAAAUAAGAAGCACUACUGUUCAGUAGCAAUGCUGACACUCGAAGAUUUGGAAGAUUUUCGGAAGCUUUUGUAUCUAAAUAGUACCAAAGAAUCGCAGGAUGCAUUUUUGCUUAAGUAUAUGAAGGUUAGUGCACCAAAGCGGCACCGUGUUGAUCCUGAUACCUUACGAUGUCCCAAAAAUAUAUCCGUUAGGUACGAAAUCAGAAAAACGAGUAGUAAUGAACCACUGCAGAUUUGUGCAAAAUCGUUUCAGUCGAUUACAGGUGUAUCGAGGGACCGGCUUGCACGAAUAGCUCGUCUGUUUUUGGAAACUCGCCAAAUACCCAAAGAACAAAGAGAGGGUAACACAACCAAAGAAGAUGAUAGGAAGGUGACUGCAGGUGUGAUAAAUCAUAUAAAAAAAUAUAAGUGUAGGGAUAGUAAUUAUAGUCGCAAGAAAUGCACCCGAGCUUACCUACCACCUGAGUUAAAUUUGUCCAAAAUAUACGAACGUUUCUGUAAGGAGCAAUAUACUAAAAAAAAAAAUAUGCUCCAUGAGUAAAUUUAAAAAAGUAUUCAAUUUAAUCUUGGAUUUGACUCUCCUCACAGUGACACUUAGUCAACUUGCUAGGAACUAUUGAUUAAAGUGAACGUGGAAAAAGAUUUGGAAAAGAGAAAUGAUAUUAGAACCAGGUUAAGAAUCCACAAACUGCGUGCAAAAAGAUAUUUUGAGUUAAUGAAACAUAAAAAUGAAAAUGAACUUGACAUCACUUUUGAUAUGCAGCAAAACCAACCCAUACCAAAACUAUCCAUAGGAGAGGUUUUUUACUUAAGGCAAGUGUGGCUUUAUAAUCUCUGCGUUAUGACUAAUAACACUCCAAUAGAUAAAAAUAAAGUAUCGCUGUACACAUGGCUAAAGACACAAGCUGGAAAAGGAGCUAAUGAAGUAGCUUCUGCGUUAUUAAAUUAUCUGCAAAUUUUGGAACAAAAAAUAAUUAAAAAGGAAAGAGAAUGGGAGCCUAAGGCACUUCGUCUUUUGUCUGAUUCUUGUGCGGCGCAAAAUAAGAACUCCAUACUGAUAGCAGCUUUAUAUAGAUUUCUUGAAAAAUCGAAAGUUUUUUUCAAAAUACAGCAUAUUUAUCCCAUUCGCGGUCACAGCUACAUGCCCCCAGAUAAAGUUUUUGGGAGAAUAGAAAGAGAAUUUCGUAAGCUCGAAAGCAUAGAAACACCUGCUCAAUAUGGGUCUCUACAUGGACAUGUAAAGAAGUGGUGGGAGCAUUGGAAAACUUAUGAUUAUAAAUCUGAGUCUAAAAAGCUAAUAAAACCCAAACUUGCAUUUAAUAUGACACAAUGUAGAAUAAUAGAAUACCGCAAAGAAGGAGGAAAGGUAAAUGUGAACGUUAAAAUCACAUAUACCGGAUGUAUUACAGAAGUAGAAAUAUUUAAAAAAGGGGUAAAGACCUUAAAGUUAUUAGACAAAGCAUUGGAGAUUCUAAAGACAAAUCAUGUCAAAGAGGUAAAAAUAGGAGAUAUACGUAAAAUAAUAAAGUACGUUAAAAAUGCUGAAGACGAUUUUUACAAGGAGCUUCUCGGGACAACUAAUUAAAACCUUACCAAGGAUGACCACUUGCUAGAGUCGAGAAAACGGUCCUCAAUUAUUUGGGUGUCAAUAUGUUAACUCAAAAAAUAUAUACUUUAACUUUAGAUAAUUUUUAUUCGCUUGUAUUGUUGGCCUUUGUUCAUGUUUUGGCUUUACUUAAAAAAGAAAUAUUUGGACUUUCAUCUUUCACUUUCUUAAUGACCUGAUAUUUUCAAUCGCUUAAAUAUAAAUAAUCUCUGUAGAUAGAUUUUUAGUUAUUUCCUUCAAUGUCUCACAAAAACAAAUUAAACAUGACAGAAUAUAAAUAAAUAGGCUCAGCAUCCGCGAGUAGGCGUAAUAAACACGCUCUUAAUAUCCCAAAAAAAAAGAAAUACCAACCGUAUUUUUAAUACCGUCCUGCAGU